AAAAAACCCAUCCGCAGAAAGAAAAGAAAAAACUCGAAACCCUCCCAUCCAGCUGCUGCUUCCAAAAAUCGCUCUCAACUGAUGAGAAUCAUAUCGCUCCAUGUCAAAGAAUAAUACUAAUUCUGAAGCUAGGUUGGAGAACGGUUAAUCAAUUUCAUUAACAGUAGCUCAAACUCAAUCGCAAAAUCCCCAAAUCAACUAAUCUGAAAAAAUUGAAAUCUCGGUUGGAAAUUGAAGUUCCAGAGUUGAAUUGGAAACCCUAAGAGUUGAAUUAGAGGAUUUGGUUGUCCAUUUAUAGAGACUACUGCACUUACGUAGGAAAUGAACCCUAGAACUGGGAACUGCAAAUUUCAGUUUUAGUUACUACUUUCGCUUUAAGUUUUAGUUCGGGGUUAGUUACAGAAGUGUAAGUUGAAGUAAAAUCUCAGGACAUAGAAACAUUUGGUCAGUUGCGGAAGUGUAAGCUUGAAGUAGAAUAUCAGGACAUGGUAACAUUUGGUUAGUUACAGAAGUGGAAGUGUGAGCUUGAAGUAGAAUCUCAGGACAUGGAGACAUCAGUGAGUGGCAGUUAAAGAUGGACUAUAUUUUAUAUUUGAACGGUGGCAUUUGUUUGAAACGAUUCAAGAAAUGAGAAGCUUGAAGUAAAAUAUCAGGACAUGAGAAUCAUAUCGCUCCAUGUCAAAGUACAAUACUAAGCCUGAAGCUAGGUUGGAGAACGAUUAAUCAAUUUCAUUAACAGUAGCUCAAACUCAAUCGCAAAAUCUCCAAAUCAACUAAUCUGAAAAAAUUGAAAUCUCGGUUGGAAAUUGAAGUUCCAGAGUUGAAUUGGAAACCCUAAGAGUUGAAUUAGAGGAUUUGGUUGUCCAUUUAUAGAGACUGCUGCACUUACGUAGGAAACGAACCCUAGAACUGGGAACUGCAAAUUUCAGGUAAAGAUUGUUUUUCACAUAUGCUUUGAAUUAAUGUGUUUAUCUGUGUCAAAUAACGAGUCUGUUAGUGGAUGAGAAUCGUGUAUUUUUUUUCGUUUAUUUUGAUGGGGUUUUGGGUUUUUGCUCUUUGUCUAUUUUAGCUUUCCAAUUUGGAACAGACGGAUUGGGGUUUUCUUCUUUUCUCUGUUCUAAUUUGAUUUCUAAUUUGAUUUUUUUUUUAGUUUAGUUACUACUUUCGCUUUAAGUUUUAGUUCGGGGUUAGUUGAAGUAAAAUCUCAGGACAUAGAAACAUUUAGUCAGUUGCGGAAGUGUAAGCUUGAAGUAGAAUAUCAGGACAUGGUAACAUUUGGUUAGUUACAGAAGUGGAACUGUGAGCUUGAAGUAGAAUCUCAGGACAUGGAGACAUCAGUGAGUGGCAGUUAAAGCUGGAUUAUAUUUUAUAUUUGAACGGUAGCAUUUGUUUGAAACGAUUCAAGAACAAGAGUUUUAACGCUUUCGCCCUGCCAUGCGAGCUAAACAAAAACAGACCUCAUUGCUUGAAGAUUGCAGAGGCGCACAAUGUUAGAUUUGGAAGAUGAUGGUGGUUCUCAAGAGCAGUCUCUUCUUAAAGAACAUGCUUCUAUCAGCAAAAGCACAUGACAGUUUUAAACUAAGUUAAUGGAGCCACAACAAUUGUAGUCAUGGAUGCCAUAGAAUUGUCUUCUUUAUCCACGUCAAAAAAGGAUGCCAUGACUGAAGAGGAACAUUAGUGUUGUUUCAAGGGAGAAGACCAGCUAUAUGCACAAAGCAACAACACUGUCAAAAAUGUGCGAGAUAAUUAGUAAAUGGUGGAAAACGAACUAAGGGCAGUUUUGUUGUUGUAAGGAGGCCAAUAAGCUUGCACUGAAACAUCUUUCCCUAAAAGAAAUGAUAACUAUUGUUUUUUGGUAUCAAUAUCAUCAUGAUGAUUUUGUAAUGAGAAAUGUCUAAGCAUACAUAUUUUUGUUUUCUAAAAUUUUCGUCCAGAACUGUAAGGUUCGAGAGUCAGGCGCAUCGCGCGUGCGUGUUAUACUAGUAUGUAAGAAAGUAAUGUACAAAUAUAAGGUUCAUACUGCAGAUGAAACCAAAGAAACAAACAAUAAAAAAUGAUGAAACCAAAAAGGGUUCCACCGAAAAAUGAUGAA